UGCUGAGCGGAGGGAACAGCAUUUGCUUGCUCAAAGCUGUAUAUAUUAGCAGUAUUUACAGAAGGGCAUGUGAUAGAAAAAGUAAAUAGCUGAACUUAGUUUCCUGUUUCCUUCUUGAUUCUUCAGGAGGGGGUGACUUUUUUUUCCUUUGGAAGUACAUAUUCUUCUUGGACAAAUCUUAAUUAAAAUUCCAGGUAGAUUACUAAACUUUGGUUAAUGAAUUGGCAUCAGGAAGCACCAACGUUUUCAUGGCCUUGUAGAGUUCAGUGAAAAUGUUUAUUAAGGGACACCGCCUGUCCUGUCCUGUCCUGACCCCAAGACACUGAAGACUCUGUUUGAAUCAGACUCAUGGGUUUCUUCCUAGCCACUGUCAGGGACAGGAAUGCUUCUGGGGAAGAAGUUUGUGGCGGCUCAUGGAGCUUCCAUUCACCAGCCUGGAAAUGGCAUUCAUUUUAUUGGCUUUUGUUAUCUUUUCCUUAUUUACUCUGGCUUCCAUCUACACUAACCCAGACGAGAGGAAUGAAGAGGAAGAACACCAAGUAAAGGAAAAGGAAAAGAAAAAGAAAAGAAGAGAGUCUAAAGAGAAGAAAAAUUUCCCAAAGAAAGAGCACAAAAUUGAAGCUGUUUAGGCUCGAAGCUGCCACCUAUGACGUCACAGCCACAGAUACUUGCCACUAUGGAGAUGGAAGAACAGACCCACAGGAGAUACUUACAGUAAAUAAGAGGAAGAGAAGAUCAAGGAAGUUAGAAGAUGCAUUUACUGAUCAGACAUGAUGGUAACAACCAUUAAUGAAGGCAACUGGGGAGAAGACUUCAUAACAUCUUCAUGUCUCAGCUUUAUUUAAAAAGCAUUUAUUAUGCUUUUUAAGAGCAAUGUGCCAUGCCAGGUUCAAUGGAUUAUGCAGAGGAAUAUGGCCGAAGCAGUAACAAUAUUACGAUGGUACCAAGAGCAAGAAGAGCCCAAAUUACAUGCGUUAUAAUUUGCUGAGAGGGAAAAAAAAUGCAUUUUAAUCAUUUUGUUUAAACUUGAGACUCAUAUGGUAAUGUAUAAGACUUAACUGUCCUGACACAUGAUGGUGCAAACUAUAAUUAACUGUAUCACUGCUUUUGUAACUGAAUAAGCAUGAAAUAGAAAGAACACUACAUAUUUUCAUAGACUUAAGGUUGAAAUUUGAAUUGCUUACACUAACUGAAAAUGCUAUCAGUGCUUCAGUGGGGUUUAAAACACAAAUUUUGAAGUUCUCCAAGGCAACAUGGUUUACAAUGGUGUGAGUCUUUAUAAACUUCUGAUCCUAGUACUAUGCAAAUUCAUAGUGUGUAAGCAUUUGGAAAAAGUGCCAUUCUGCUUACUUUUUUUUCCCCUAAAAGUGAAAUUUUCUGUAGUUGUAAAGAAAUAUUAAAUCAUCACAAUCAAUACUGGUAGCCUUGUAGUGACAGAAAGGAAUCCACAAUACCGUCAAAGAUACCUAACAUGCCUUUAGUAAGAAUCAUAGCUUAGGUCUAUAAUGCUUUUGGCUAUCGAGUUCUAAUAUGUAAAAGACUCAAUUCAUCUCUAUUUGUCCCUGCCUUAUAUAUUUUGCUCUCAAGCAAGAGUUAAUAAAAGCAGCUCCCUAUCAUAGGUAGAUAUGCAUAUUAUUGUCAACAUAUUGUUUAGCAAAGUUAACCAAGAAGUCUCCCAGGACACAGUGGGGGUGCCUGGGUGGCUCAGUUGUUAAGCAACUGACUUCAGCUCAGGUCAUGAUCUCACAGUUUGUGAGUUCAAGUCCCACAUUGGGUGAGCUCAAACCCCGCUUUGGGUGAGCUCUGCUUCUCUCUCUCUCUCUCCCUCAUUUAUUGCAUCCUUUCUCUCUCUCAAAAAAAAGUGGGGGGACACAUUGAGUUAGAAAAGGACAGAGCAUACACUUUAAGGACAAAUAGAUCUGGGUUUGAAUCUACUCCAAUCUUCCUUUGUGUCUUUUUAGCAAAUUAAUUAAUUUCUCUGAGCCUUGAUGUUCUCAAAAAAAAAAGAAGAAGAAGAAGAAGAAGAAGAAGAAGAAGAUAAAAAGACCUUUGCUGAAUUGAUGAAUGGAUAAGAUACAAUGUAUAUCAAAUGUAUAAUUCACCCCCUAAGGUAGUUGCUCAAAAAGGCUAGCCAUUAUUAUUAUAAAGCAUUGAUAUUCCCUCAGACCUUCAGGUUUACUUGAUAAGGUUUUCAGGAAAGCAGGAAAGUCUACAACAUGGUUCAAAAUACUUGGCUGCUGUCCAGUUCAGUCCCUUAACUCAUCUUACAUUAUAUUGAAUGAGUGGGAAUGGGAAGCACUUAGCAAUGAAUUAAGAACAUUUCAGGCCAGAUGGGAAAGCAGAGACAUGAAAUAAAAUCUCCCUAACAUGUUUACUAGAAUAACUGCCAAAUCCCUACACUAUUAUUGUGUCACUUAGAGCAUAACCAAUCUACCAAAUUAAUUCAAGUUUCUUCUGUACUGCUACAACUGUCAUUGUGUAACACUGAAAAUAAGAAUGUUUCCAUUUCAUGUUUGCAUAUCGGUUGUAAGUAAACUGUCUUAGAUACAUAACAUAUUUUAAACUUUAUCCCUAUCAAGGGCAACAUUUUUCUAGGUUUAUUUAUUUAUUUAAGUAAUCUCUACACCCAUGGUGGGGCUGGAACUCAUGACUCCAAGAUGAAGAGUCACAUGCUCCUCCAACUGAGCCAGCCCCAAGAAUAUUUUAACAAACUUUCCAUCUUUUAGUUGGUCUAAGUGUUCUAUCAUUUCUGGUUUAUAGCUAGAGUAAUAAUAAAUUGAACAAGAAACUUCUAAAUCUUCUAAAGACUGAAAGGUAUUCUCAAAAAAUCCUAUUCUCACAGCUUCCCAUUCUGGAUUUUGGAUAAAGAGUUUGUAAAGUACAUGAAAUGUACCCAUCACAUAAGCCUCCUGUUUUGAUGUGUGCAAUUAAUAGAAGUUUAAAUUUCUGCAUGCCCUCUGAAAGUUAUAAAUAGAUUUGGGUCCCUUAUGUAUAUUUCCUAAUGAGAAUGUUAAAAAUAGGCUUUGUUCAAACUCUGAUCAUAUGGCAUAAAGGCCCUCUUGAUUUAGUAGCAACUUUCAAGCAGCCACAUGCUAAAGAAAGAAACCUUGCUUCUUUUCCUUGUACAUCUCUAAAAGAAAUAGCUGGGUUUUUUGUUUUUUUUUGUUUUUUUCAACAGGUUUCUCAUUUUGCAACGUGUUUAAAAGGCAGUCAAGGGGAGCUAAGAAUUGGAGAAAUAUGGUGGAAAAGAAUUGUAUGUAUUUCAAACUCCUACUCUUGAAAUAGUCAGACCCAUGUUAGAGUUAAUGUGUCGCUGUCAUGCCCACUCAGAGAAUAAGAGUCAAACAAAGAAAAAUGUUUGCUCAGAUAAGAGAAAAAUUCCAUCAAGAAAAAGGAAAAGAUAGGACAAAGAGGGAGAGAGACACUCAAAGAAGAUAUAGUGUUUCCAACAAGUAAACAUUUUAUUUUGCUUUACAAUAGGCAGGAAAACAAGCUACUGUUUGUUAUUUUCCCAACUAUCAGUAUUUUAACUGAUUAAAGGCUAAAGCAUUUUAUUUCUCUUUGACCUGAUUUGGGAAGAAAGGCCAUGGACAGGAAAUCUGGGUCGCUCUAUUCCUAAGAAAACCUUUGUAUUUCAAGCAUUCAUGACAGUGAUAUAAAAUACACAGAUGGGUUCAAAAUGCUACCUCUGCAUUUAUCCACCCAAAUAAAAUAAUCAUUGUGUAAUCACUUGCAAA